AUUAGGAAUCUUGCGCAAUGGGCGAAAGCCUGACGCAGCGACGCCGCGUGGAGGACGAAGUCCCUCGGGAUGUAAACUCCUUUUUUUCGGGACGAAGGAUGUGACGGUACCGAACGAAUAAGCCCCGGCUAACUACGUGCCAGCAGCCGCGGUAAUACGUAGGGGGCGAGCGUUGUCCGAAGUUACUGGGCGUAAAGCGCGCGUAGGCGGGCUGGUAAGUGGGAGGUGAAAGGCCCGGGCUCAACCCGGUGCAGUGCCUCUCAUACUGCCGGUCUUGAGGGCGGUAGGGAGAAGUGGAAUGGCUGGUGUAGCGGUGAAAUGCGUAGAUAUCAGUCGGAACACCGGUGGCGAAGGCGGCUUCUUGGGCCGUUCCUGACGCUGAGGCGCGAAAGCCAGGGGAGCGAACGGGAUUAGAUACCCCAGUAGUCC
rnacentral:rRNA from 1 species